UAGGUGGCUGUACCUACACUAGUUGCCAACGGUUGCCAACUGCUAAUAACAGAAGAAGAAGAGGAAAAACUUUGAGGCAACAACAACUUGAAUUUCACGGACAGUAAAAGUCUACUGCAAUGGAUCAGACAACCAUCCAGAUGUGUGUUUAAGCAGCUCAUCACCUCAUAUCCUCUGAGGAUGCCAUUGGCGCUGAGCUGCUGGACGGGCUCCCAUGAAACCUGGAUCUCAAAGGCAGUCAGUGCCGUGGCGUUGAUGUUUGAUGGUCCUACUGUUGGCUCUGUAAGGAGUCAAGGAAAGAAAUAAAACCAGGUUGGAUCUUCAGUCUAUUGCAUACCAAUUUGAGGUCUAAGCAUGAUGAUGUACCUAAUAUUCCUGCAGACCAACUGAGCAGAAGAAUCUUAAAGCCUGGCCUGGGUCCAAACUUCCACACUCACAUGAUGUUUAGUAAGCUGAAAACUGUGUAAGAUUUUUUAGUAGGUCUGGAACCUUGGUAUGAAACCAGCAGUAUGUCGUUUGCUUUCUGUCACAGGUGAAACAGUACACAGUGCAAACACUGGACAUUAUGCCGACCCAUGUUGUAAUGCAGUAGUGAUGACAAUGUUCUCAACAGACAAUGGCAGCAACCAAGAAGCUUAAACAUUAAAUAUAAAUAAAUAAUAAAUAUAAGAAAGGCAUAUUCAUUAUUACUGUUAUCCAUUGAAAGUUUGUAUUGAUACACUACAUACAUACACAUAUUAGAGUUGUAAGCGUAUGAGAUUUUUAUGGUAUGCUAACCGUCUCAGAAAAUAUGGCUGUUUCACAAUAUCAGGCAUUUACAGAAUGUAUCUUAUUAUCAGUUAGAAUGAUCCUUAAAGGAAUGAAAACAGAAGGCUAUUUUUGGUGGAACAAACAUUUGAUUACUACAACUGAAACUUGAAACCAUUUUUGUUAAUGGAAGUAUGUGUAAAAAAUCUCCCCUCAGAAAAUUACUAAAAUAAAGGGGAUA